rnacentral:rRNA from 1 species
AGUGAACGCUGGCGGUAGGCCUAACACAUGCAAGUCGAACGGCAGCACAGUAAGAGCUUGCUCUUACGGGUGGCGAGUGGCGGACGGGUGAGGAAUACAUCGGAAUCUACUUUUUCGUGGGGGAUAACGUAGGGAAACUUACGCUAAUACCGCAUACGACCUACGGGUGAAAGCAGGGGAUCUUCGGACCUUGCGCGAUUGAAUGAGCCGAUGUCGGAUUAGCUAGUUGGCGGGGUAAAGGCCCACCAAGGCGACGAACCGUAGCUGGUCUGAGAGGAUGAUCAGCCACACUGGAACUGAGACACGGUCCAGACUCCUACGGGAGGCAGCAGUGGGGAAUAUUGGACAAUGGGCGCAAGCCUGAUCCAGCCAUACCGCGUGGGUGAAGAAGGCCUUCGGGUUGUAAAGCCCUUUUGUUGGAAAAGAAAAGCAGCAGGUUAAUACCCCGCUGUUCUGACGGUACCCAAAGAAUAAGCACCGGCUAACUUCGUG